AUUGAACGCUGGCGGCAGGCCUAACACAUGCAAGUCGAGCGCGCGGCGGACGGGUGUGUAUUGUCUGGGAGACUGCCUGAUGGAGGGGGAUAACUCCUGUAAACGGUAGCUAAUACCGCAUACCAUCAGAUGUGCCCAGGUGGGAUUAGCUAGUAGGUGGGGUAACGGCUCACCUAGGCGACGAUCCCUAGCUGGUCUGAGAGGAUGACCAGCCACACUGGAACUGAGACACGGCCCAGACUCCUACGGGAGGCAGCAGUGGGGAAUAUUGCACAAUGGGCGCAAGCCUGAUGCAGCCAUGCCGCGUGUGUGAAGAAGGCCUUCGGGUUGUAAAGCACUUUCAGCGGGGAGGCGUUACCCGCAGAAGAAGCACCGGCUAACUCCGUGCCAGCAGCCGCGGUAAUAC
rnacentral:rRNA from 1 species